GAUGAACGCUGGCGGCGUGCCUAAUACAUGCAAGUCGAGCGAACGGACGAGAAGCUUGCUUCUCUGAUGUUAGCGGCGGACGGGUGAGUAACACGUGGAUAACCUACCUAUAAGACUGGGAUAACUUCGGGAAACCGGAGCUAAUACCGGAUAAUAUUUUGAACCGCAUGGUUCAAAAGUGAAAGACGGUCUUGCUGUCACUUAUAGAUGGAUCCGCGCUGCAUUAGCUAGUUGGUAAGGUAACGGCUUACCAAGGCAACGAUGCAUAGCCGACCUGAGAGGGUGAUCGGCCACACUGGAACUGAGACACGGUCCAGACUCCUACGGGAGGCAGCAGUAGGGAAUCUUCCGCAAUGGGCGAAAGCCUGACGGAGCAACGCCGCGUGAGUGAUGAAGGUCUUCGGAUCGUAAAACUCUGUUAUUAGGGAAGAACAUAUGUGUAAGUAACUGUGCACAUCUUGACGGUACCUAAUCAGAAAGCCACGGCUAACUACGUGCCAGCAGCCGCGGUAAUACGUAGGUGGCAAGCGUUAUCCGGAAUUAUUGGGCGUAAAGCGCGCGUAGGCGGUUUUUUAAGUCUGAUGUGAAAGCCCACGGCUCAACCGUGGAGGGUCAUUGGAAACUGGAAAACUUGAGUGCAGAAGAGGAAAGUGGAAUUCCAUGUGUAGCGGUGAAAUGCGCAGAGAUAUGGAGGAACACCAGUGGCGAAGGCGACUUUCUGGUCUGUAACUGACGCUGAUGUGCGAAAGCGUGGGGAUCAAACAGGAUUAGAUACCCUGGUAGUCCACGCCGUAAACGAUGAGUGCUAAGUGUUAGGGGGUUUCCGCCCCUUAGUGCUGCAGCUAACGCAUUAAGCACUCCGCCUGGGGAGUACGACCGCAAGGUUGAAACUCAAAGGAAUUGACGGGGACCCGCACAAGCGGUGGAGCAUGUGGUUUAAUUCGAAGCAACGCGAAGAACCUUACCAAAUCUUGACAUCCUUUGACAACUCUAGAGAUAGAGCCUUCCCCUUCGGGGGACAAAGUGACAGGUGGUGCAUGGUUGUCGUCAGCUCGUGUCGUGAGAUGUUGGGUUAAGUCCCGCAACGAGCGCAACCCUUAAGCUUAGUUGCCAUCAUUAAGUUGGGCACUCUAAGUUGACUGCCGGUGACAAACCGGAGGAAGGUGGGGAUGACGUCAAAUCAUCAUGCCCCUUAUGAUUUGGGCUACACACGUGCUACAAUGGACAAUACAAAGGGCAGCAAAACCGCGAGGUCAAGCAAAUCCCAUAAAGUUGUUCUCAGUUCGGAUUGUAGUCUGCAACUCGACUACAUGAAGCUGGAAUCGCUAGUAAUCGUAGAUCAGCAUGCUACGGUGAAUACGUUCCCGGGUCU
rnacentral:rRNA from 1 species